CGAACGCUGGCGGCGUGCCUAAUACAUGCAAGUCGAGCGAAACUUUCUUACACCGAAUGCUUGCAUUCACCGUAAGAAGUUGAGUGGCGGACGGGUGAGUAACACGUGGGUAACCUGCCUAAAAGAAGGGGAUAACACUUGGAAACAGGUGCUAAUACCGUAUAUCUCUAAGGAUCGCAUGAUUCUUAGAUGAAAGAUGGUUCUGCUAUCGCUUUUAGAUGGACCCGCGGCGUAUUAACUAGUUGGUGGGGUAACGGCCUACCAAGGUGAUGAUACGUAGCCGAACUGAGAGGUUGAUCGGCCACAUUGGGACUGAGACACGGCCCAAACUCCUACGGGAGGCAGCAGUAGGGAAUCUUCCACAAUGGACGCAAGUCUGAUGGAGCAACGCCGCGUGAGUGAAGAAGGUCUUCGGAUCGUAAAACUCUGUUGUUAGAGAAGAACACGAGUGAGAGUAACUGUUCAUUCGAUGACGGUAUCUAACCAGCAAGUCACGGCUAACUACGUGCCAGCAGCCGCGGUAAUACGUAGGUGGCAAGCGUUGUCCGGAUUUAUUGGGCGUAAAGGGAACGCAGGCGGUCUUUUAAGUCUGAUGUGAAAGCCUUCGGCUUAACCGGAGUAGUGCAUUGGAAACUGGAAGACUUGAGU
rnacentral:rRNA from 1 species